UAAACCUGAUUCCCCUUGCAAUAAACGAGACCUUGACGCAACUCAGACUGACUUUGUCUUCCUUUACGCGCCUGGUCUCCUUUCUCUCUCACCCCCAUUGAUCUUUCAGGAGGUGCCUCUUCGGGUCUCAUCAAAUAACGUGGCCCGCGGGACGGGUCAAGUGUCGCCCGAACGUGGGGCUCGAGGCACGGUGACCUACUGGACGACGGAUAACAGAAGGGGCCCCGGAGAGAAUUAGGGUAGAGACGCCCGGACCGCAUCACUCGUGCAACGCGGGAGAGUCUUGAGAAAUGCCUCCGGCUUGGAAAAUAAAGGGAGCCACGGACAUCUCAAUGGCAGGACCUGUUCAUCGCGAGCCUUGGAAAACCAACCCCUGCUUCAUCGUUUGCUUACUACUCUUCCCCCUUCCCCUCUCCUGCAUCUCCAAGGAAAGCCCCCAUGCUAUUAAAAAGCUUACCUGGCGAAUUUUCACAGUAA